UACGUAGGGUGCGAGCGUUGUCCGGAAUUAUUGGGCGUAAAGGGCUCGUAGGCGGUCUGUUGCGUCAGGAGUGAAAACUCGGGGCUUAACCCCGAGCCUGCUUCUGAUACGGGCAGACUAGAGGUAUGCAGGGGAGAACGGAAUUCCUGGUGUAGCGGUGAAAUGCGCAGAUAUCAGGAGGAACACCAGUGGCGAAGGCGGUUGCCUGGGGCUUUGCUGACGCUGAUGCGCGAAAGCGUGGGGAGCGAUCCGG
rnacentral:rRNA from 1 species